rnacentral:rRNA from 1 species
GUAACGGCGAGUGAAGAGGAAAGAGCUCAAAGUUGGAACCUGUUUGGCUUAGCUAAACCGGAUUGUAAACUGUAGAAGUGUUUUCCAGACACGCCUGGUAAAAAAGUCCUUUGGAACAGGGCAUCAUAGAGGGUGAGAAUCCCGUCUUUGGCCAGAGCUGUUGUCUUUUGUGAUACAUUUUCAAAGAGUCAGGUUGUUUGGGAAUGCAGCCUAAAUUGGGUGGUAAAUCUCACCUAAAGCUAAAUAUUUGCGAGAGACCGAUAGCGAACAAGUACCGUGAGGGAAAGAUGAAAAGAACUUUGAAAAGAGAGUUAAACAGUAUGUGAAAUUGUUAAAAGGGAACCGUUUGGAGCCAGACUGGCUUGACUGUAAUCAAUCUAGGCUUCGGCCUGGAUGCACUUGCGGUUUAUGCCUGCCAACGACAAUUUUUUUUGAGGGAAAAAACUAUUUGGAAUGUGGCCCUCCCUCGGGGGGGUGUUAUAGCCUUUUAGAAAAUACCUUGAAUUGGAUUGAGGAACGCAGUGAAUGCCUUUAGGCAAGAUUGCUGGGCGCUUUCGCUAAUAAAUGCUAGAAUUUCUGCUUCGGGUGGUGCUAGUGUUUAAAGGAGAAACUCGUCUGGUAUAUU